rnacentral:lncRNA from 1 species
CGCUUGAUGUCAGUAUUUGAAAUUUCAGAUAAACCCUCACUGGUAUUGACAGCAGGAAUAUCACCACCAGAAUGCACCCUCUUUCGAGGAAGUAUACCAGUAGAUGUCAUGCUGAUACUUCCUCACUAACCAUGUUCGCAUCACUUCAUUACCAUUGUUUCUGUUUCUAACUCAUUUGUUCGUUCAUUGGUGUCAGCUGAAUCAUGACCAUUCAAUUAAUCAUCAGUUUCAAUGUUUGUGACAGUAAUAAUGUCCGUCUCUGAAAUUGUUUUCAGUUUCGAUUUCAGUGUCUGUAUUAUGUUCUGUCUCGGUAAAAAAGGGUUUUAACUGUCGGUGUUAUUAGAUACAGAACUUGCUUCAAAUAUUGCUUCUAAGUUUUCUUCUGUUUGUAUACCAGGUAAGAAUACCGAAUAAUCUUAAUUAACUACAUGUGAAUU